UACAGAGGUCUCAAGCGUUGUUCGGAUUCAUUGGGCGUAAAGGGUGCGUAGGCGGCGCGGUAAGUCGGGUGUGAAAUCUCGGAGCUUAACUCCGAAACUGCAUUCGAUACUGCCGUGCUUGAGGACUGGAGAGGAGACUGGAAUUCCUGGUGUAGCAGUGAAAUGCGUAGAUAUCAGGAGGAAUACCGAUGGCGAAGGCAGGUCUCUGGGCUAACACUGACGCUCAUGCACGAAAGCGUGGGGAGCAAACAGG
rnacentral:rRNA from 1 species